UUAAGCGACUAAGCGUACACGGUGGAUGCCCUGGCAGUCAGAGGCGAUGAAGGACGUGCUAAUCUGCGAUAAGCGUCGGUAAGGUGAUAUGAACCGUUAUAACCGGCGAUUUCCGAAUGGGGAAACCCAGUGUGAUUCGUCACACUAUCAUUAACUGAAUCCAUAGGUUAAUGAGGCGAACCGGGGGAACUGAAACAUCUAAGUACCCCGAGGAAAAGAAAUCAACCGAGAUUCCCCCAGUAGCGGCGAGCGAACGGGGAGCAGCCCAGAGCCUGAAUCAGUGUGUGUGUUAGUGGAAGCGUCUGGAAAGGCGCGCGAUACAGGGUGACAGCCCCGUACACAAAAAUGCACAUGCUGUGAGCUCGAUGAGUAGGGCGGGACACGUGGUAUCCUGUCUGAAUAUGGGGGGACCAUCCUCCAAGGCUAAAUACUCCUGACUGACCGAUAGUGAACCAGUACCGUGAGGGAAAGGCGAAAAGAACCCCGGCGAGGGGAGUGAAAAAGAACCUGAAACCGUGUACGUACAAGCAGUGGGAGCACGCUUAGGCGUGUGACUGCGUACCUUUUGUAUAAUGGGUCAGCGACUUAUAUUCUGUAGCAAGGUUAACCGAAUAGGGGAGCCGAAGGGAAACCGAGUCUUAACUGGGCGUUAAGUUGCAGGGUAUAGACCCGAAACCCGGUGAUCUAGCCAUGGGCAGGUUGAAGGUUGGGUAACACUAACUGGAGGACCGAACCGACUAAUGUUGAAAAAUUAGCGGAUGACUUGUGGCUGGGGGUGAAAGGCCAAUCAAACCGGGAGAUAGCUGGUUCUCCCCGAAAGCUAUUUAGGUAGCGCCUCGUGAAUUCAUCUCCGGGGGUAGAGCACUGUUUCGGCAAGGGGGUCAUCCCGACUUACCAACCCGAUGCAAACUGCGAAUACCGGAGAAUGUUAUCACGGGAGACACACGGCGGGUGCUAACGUCCGUCGUGAAGAGGGAAACAACCCAGACCGCCAGCUAAGGUCCCAAAGUCAUGGUUAAGUGGGAAACGAUGUGGGAAGGCCCAGACAGCCAGGAUGUUGGCUUAGAAGCAGCCAUCAUUUAAAGAAAGCGUAAUAGCUCACUGGUCGAGUCGGCCUGCGCGGAAGAUGUAACGGGGCUAAACCAUGCACCGAAGCUGCGGCAGCGACGCUUAUGCGUUGUUGGGUAGGGGAGCGUUCUGUAAGCCUGUGAAGGUGUGCUGUGAGGCAUGCUGGAGGUAUCAGAAGUGCGAAUGCUGACAUAAGUAACGAUAAAGCGGGUGAAAAGCCCGCUCGCCGGAAGACCAAGGGUUCCUGUCCAACGUUAAUCGGGGCAGGGUGAGUCGACCCCUAAGGCGAGGCCGAAAGGCGUAGUCGAUGGGAAACAGGUUAAUAUUCCUGUACUUGGUGUUACUGCGAAGGGGGGACGGAGAAGGCUAUGUUGGCCGGGCGACGGUUGUCCCGGUUUAAGCGUGUAGGCUGGUUUUCCAGGCAAAUCCGGAAAAUCAAGGCUGAGGCGUGAUGACGAGGCACUACGGUGCUGAAGCAACAAAUGCCCUGCUUCCAGGAAAAGCCUCUAAGCAUCAGGUAACAUCAAAUCGUACCCCAAACCGACACAGGUGGUCAGGUAGAGAAUACCAAGGCGCUUGAGAGAACUCGGGUGAAGGAACUAGGCAAAAUGGUGCCGUAACUUCGGGAGAAGGCACGCUGAUAUGUAGGUGAAGUCCCUCGCGGAUGGAGCUGAAAUCAGUCGAAGAUACCAGCUGGCUGCAACUGUUUAUUAAAAACACAGCACUGUGCAAACACGAAAGUGGACGUAUACGGUGUGACGCCUGCCCGGUGCCGGAAGGUUAAUUGAUGGGGUUAGCGCAAGCGAAGCUCUUGAUCGAAGCCCCGGUAAACGGCGGCCGUAACUAUAACGGUCCUAAGGUAGCGAAAUUCCUUGUCGGGUAAGUUCCGACCUGCACGAAUGGCGUAAUGAUGGCCAGGCUGUCUCCACCCGAGACUCAGUGAAAUUGAACUCGCUGUGAAGAUGCAGUGUACCCGCGGCAAGACGGAAAGACCCCGUGAACCUUUACUAUAGCUUGACACUGAACAUUGAGCCUUGAUGUGUAGGAUAGGUGGGAGGCUUUGAAGUGUGGACGCCAGUCUGCAUGGAGCCGACCUUGAAAUACCACCCUUUAAUGUUUGAUGUUCUAACGUUGACCCGUAAUCCGGGUUGCGGACAGUGUCUGGUGGGUAGUUUGACUGGGGCGGUCUCCUCCUAAAGAGUAACGGAGGAGCACGAAGGUUGGCUAAUCCUGGUCGGACAUCAGGAGGUUAGUGCAAUGGCAUAAGCCAGCUUGACUGCGAGCGUGACGGCGCGAGCAGGUGCGAAAGCAGGUCAUAGUGAUCCGGUGGUUCUGAAUGGAAGGGCCAUCGCUCAACGGAUAAAAGGUACUCCGGGGAUAACAGGCUGAUACCGCCCAAGAGUUCAUAUCGACGGCGGUGUUUGGCACCUCGAUGUCGGCUCAUCACAUCCUGGGGCUGAAGUAGGUCCCAAGGGUAUGGCUGUUCGCCAUUUAAAGUGGUACGCGAGCUGGGUUUAGAACGUCGUGAGACAGUUCGGUCCCUAUCUGCCGUGGGCGCUGGAGAACUGAGGGGGGCUGCUCCUAGUACGAGAGGACCGGAGUGGACGCAUCACUGGUGUUCGGGUUGUCAUGCCAAUGGCACUGCCCGGUAGCUAAAUGCGGAAGAGAUAAGUGCUGAAAGCAUCUAAGCACGAAACUUGCCCCGAGAUGAGUUCUCCCUGACUCCUUGAGAGUCCUGAAGGAACGUUGAAGACGACGACGUUGAUAGGCCGGGUGUGUAAGCGCAGCGAUGCGUUGAGCUAACCGGUACUAAUGAACCGUGAGGCUUAACCUU
rnacentral:rRNA from 1 species